CACCUCACCAUCUCUAUUUCCAACCACUCAUUCAAAUUUCAAAUUUGGUCUAUCUUUCUCUCUCUACAUAGGCCCCACACCCAAUCAGAUUUAUUUUUCUCACUCUCCCCACCAAUACUCACUCUCGACUGUCUCUCUCCCCCACUCCUCAUUCACAUUUUUUUCUCUCUCCCACAUCACACCAUCUUCUUCCUUCUUCUCUGUAACAAACACCAUCACCAUAUUUCUUCCUCUCCCAUGGCAGCCGCCACCCAUGGCCAAGCCACCACCGCCACGAGCGCCCCUCUGCUCACGGAUGCCGCCACUAACCGCACCACCAUCACCGUUCCUUCUUCUUCAUCUCAAGGGAGCCACCAUGAACGAACCACCGCCACCUUGAGGCCACGACCGCGAGCCCUCUCCCCUGUCCAAGUGAGCGCCGCCGCACCACCACCACUACCAGAAACGACGAAGAACAGAAGGAAAAAAUGAAACCCUAGCCGCCACCUUUCUCCUUCGAUCUCCGGCGAACCAUUCCGUUUUUGGAAAAACCAACCACACCAUUGAACUCCCCUCAUCAUCCGCUUCAAACCCCCUCAAUCAAUUUGACGAUCGGCCGCCGUCACUCCGGAGACCGCCACCGCCGCCGCCGCCACCGGCGUCUUCUCCGGCGAGCCUUGUUCUCAGAAAGGAGGCCAAUUUCUCGAAGCUCUCGACCUCUCCUUCCUGAAUCCAAGGUCAAAUCAUUGUUUAGAGCUAUGAAGGCCACUGAAGGAUGAGAAUUUCGUUACCAGAGUAGAAGGAGGGUGAAGUUCAGAACCUUAGCCAUGAGGCUUAAGGUAGAAAAGAAAGGAUUAUUGCUUGGUUAUGUCAUUAGUUGUAUGGGUUUUGUCAAUUGUUGGUAUGGGGUCAAAAUGUUUUCUGUUUUGGGAAAAAGGAAUUAGAAUCCAAUUUUUGAAAAUGUAUCAAGGUGCUGGCCUGACUGUUAUGGGAAGCAUUGUACUUUGACCCUUUUGUGAUUUAUGGACUUGCAUGAAUUAAAGUAAAAUGGUUAGGUUUUCAUAAUGAAAAACUUGGCUGGAUUUCGAACUUUUGAACUCUUUCUUAGACUGUGUUAAUGAUUGAAUUUGAAGAAGUAGUCUUCAUAAAAGUUGUAGCCCUUCUGUUAGGAAAGUUUUGCUGCUGGUUUCAUGUCAAUCUGACGUCUGUAACUCGAAUUAUACGUUUUUUAGUGAGUAUGGGUUAAGCUGUCCCGUUUCUCA